rnacentral:rRNA from 1 species
UACGAGGGGUGCAAACGUUGUCCGGAAUUACUGGGCGUAAAGAGCGCGUAGGCGGUCUGAUCCGUCGUUUAUGAAAGACCAAGGCUUAACUUUGGGAACGUGGACGAUACAGUCAGACUUGAGUAAGGCAGAGGCACAUGGAACACUCGGUGGAGGGGUGACAUCCGUUGAUAUCGAGUGGAACACCAAAGGCGAAGGCAGUGUGCUGGGCCUUUACUGACGCUGAGGCGCGAAAGCGUGGGGAGCGAUC